UGAAGCUGGCACCUCCGGUGUCCGCGUUGUAAUCUCGAGACGUGUUUUCCGUGCGGCUCUAUGGACAAGUCCCUUGGAAUAGGGCAUCGUAGAGGGUGAGAAUCCCGUACUUGCCAUGGAAGACCGGGGGUUGCACACAGGUCUAAAGUCGAUUGUUGGGGAUUGCGCCCCAAAAUGGGGGGGGAGUCCCAAAAAAUUGCAAGAGUAGAAGGUACCCAAUGGCCAAACCAAGUACCGUGAGGGAAAAAAUGAAAAAGCACUUUGGAAAGAGAGUCAUCCGUGUAAAAAUUUGACGGGGGGAGAAACCCUUGAAAGUCAGGCAUGCUGCUUGAGACUCAGCCCGGGCCUUUGGGGUUUGGUGUAUUUCCUGGGUGGGCAAGCCAGCAUUGGGUUUGGGUCGUCGGAAAAACCCCAAAGGGAAAUGUAACGUCUCCGGACGUGUAAAACCCUUAUUGCAGGAUCCCACGACCCUGGAUUCAGGGGACCGCAGGGGGCCC
rnacentral:rRNA from 1 species